rnacentral:rRNA from 1 species
AUACGGAGGGUGCAAGCGUUAAUCGGAAUUACUGGGCGUAAAGCGUGCGUAGGUGGUUUGUUAAGUCAGAUGUGAAAGCCCCGGGCUCAACCUGGGAACUGCAUUUGAAACUGGCAUACUAGAGUAUAGGAGAGGAAAGUGGAAUUUCAGGUGUAGCGGUGAAAUGCGUAGAUAUCUGAAGGAACAUCAAUGGCGAAGGCAGUUUUCUGGACUAAUACUGACACUGAGGUACGAAAGCGUGGGUAGCAAACAGGAUUAGAAACCCUAGUAGUCC